AUUGAACGCUGGCGGCAGGCCUAACACAUGCAAGUCGAGCGGAUGAAGGUAGCUUGCUCCUUGAUUCAGCGGCGGACGGGUGAGUAAUGCCUAGGAAUCUCCCUGGUAGUGGGGGCUCACGUCCGGAAUCGGGCGCUAAUACCGCAUCCGUUCUGCGGGAGAACGUGGGGGAUCUUCGGACCUCACGCUAUCAGCUUCUCCUAGGUCGGAUUAGGUAGUGGGUGGGGUAAAGGCCUACCAAGGCGAAGAUCCGUAACUGGUCUGAGAGGUUGAUCAGCCACACUGGAAAUGAGACACGGUCAAGACUCCGAAGGGAGGCAGCAGUGGGGAAUAUUGGACAAGGGGAGAAAGCCUGAUCCAGACAUGCCGCGUGUGUGAAGAAGGUGUUCGGAUUGUAAAGCACUUUAAGUUGGGAGGAAGGGCAGUAAGUUAAUACCUUGCUGUUUUGACGGUACCAACAGAAUAAGCACCGGCUAACUUCGUG
rnacentral:rRNA from 1 species